AUACGGAGGAUGCGAGCGUUAUCCGGAUUUAUUGGGUUUAAAGGGUGCGUAGGCUGUGCGUUAAGUCAGGGGUGAAAUGCCGUCGCUCAACGACAGAGCUGCCCUUGAUACUGGCGUGCUGGAGUACGGAUGCCGUUGGAGGAAUGAGUGGUGUAGCGGUGAAAUGCUUAGAUAUCACUCAGAACACCGAUUGCGAAGGCAUCUGACGAAUCCGUCACUGACGCUGAGGCUCGAAAGCGUGGGGAUAGAACAGGAUUAGAUACCCUGGUAUUCCACGCCGUAAACGAUGAUGACUAACCGUCGGCGAUAGACAGCCGGUGGCCAAGCGAAAGCGAUAAGUCAUCCACCUGGGGAGUACGUCGGCAACGAUGAAACUCAAAUGAAUUGGCGGGG
rnacentral:rRNA from 1 species